UUAUGCAGUGCCAUUGAUGCACAACAAUUUGAACUUGUGUUUUGUAAGGAAACACUGGCAUGUUUUGCAAGAUUCUCCAUCUUUUCUUCCAAACUCCAAAUGUAUGUUUUAUUACACAUCGUAACGAUGAAUGGACACGGUUGAAUAUUUCUUCCCGACUUUGCAGUUGUUCUCGUUGAUGAAAUUCUGGAAGAUAAUAUCUCUCACCUCUAUAUGGCCCCAAGUAACCAUACUCAUUUGGAUAUCCCGAAUCAACGAGAUAAUACUUCCCUGCAAUAAGAUAAUGAUAGUACAAAACUUAUUCUCUAUUGCAGACACAAUAAAUUUAUUCAAAUUGAACAACACUUAAAUUUUUUAUUUCGCAUACCUUCUUGUGGCUUCGGAAAUCUUAUAUUUGGAUUGUCAAUCGUCUCAUGAAAUAUUAUUGUAUCGUGUGCACUACCUUUCCACCCAGCCUAAACAAAUGUAAAUUGCAUGUCAAAACUACAUGCUGCCAUUAUAUUUUGAGUUGGUACACCUUUUCUACCAAUAAAUGGUAUUUGAUUUGCUUGUGAUACACAAGCACGCACAUGUGUUCCAUCAAUCGCGCCAAUACAGUUCUA
rnacentral:lncRNA from 1 species